CGCCCGCAAGGGAGCGGCAGACGGGUGAGUAACGCGUGGGAAUCUACCCAACCCUACGGAAUAACACAGGGAAACUUGUGCUAAUACCGUAUACGCCCUACGGGGAAAGAUUUAUCGGGGUUGGAUGAGCCCGCGUUGGAUUAGCUAGUUGGUGGGGUAAUGGCCUACCAAGGCGACGAUCCAUAGCUGGUCUGAGAGGAUGAUCAGCCACACUGGGACUGAGACACGGCCCAG
rnacentral:rRNA from 1 species